AGAGAGGAUUUUCUUUCCUCUAAGGCAAUAAGCCUGGCCCUUUCUCCCCGUUACAGGGAAGAAUCAUAAUAUAGGGUCUGAUAUGACAUGUUUUAUCUUUUUCCUACUCUUUUUCUUCUUCACCCAGGGCUUAUUCAAUCCGUUACCAGUCAGCUUAGCUUGAUCCUCUGUCUUCAAAUACUUACAAGAGUUGAAUUCCACAGCUCCACCCCCUGCUGGACACGUCUGUCAACAGUCGUCAUCCUGAUCGUCUCUGCCUUCAUGACUUGACUUCCCUACUGUGAUCCACCACAAACACCCCUCCUCCAAACCUAGGUUUCCAAAAUGGGUUGAGCUUUGCUUGCUGUCCUCCUUUAUUGAUCAUCCAAUAGGUCAAGCCUCUGCUGGACCACAAGGCAAACUACUUCAAACGGAGAGACAGCGGAGGGACAGAUGCUGCUGAUGCGUACCGCCAGGCUCCCUUAGGCCAUCCAUCACUCCCAUUUCCUGUCUAGCCUGCUCCACAGAGAAGCGGAGGAGGACAGGAGGGACGGCGUGCCCUGCAGGCCUCUGAGAACAAAUGUUUGGACGCAGUCCGACUGACAGUCCACGAGAGAGAGUAAUCAGACAGAGUUGCAUCCAGGUGAGGCCCUCUGAUGCUGGGGACAAGAGAGAAACGACUCAGACAGUGUAAAGCACCUACGGAGUUAGUAAAACCGGGGAGUGGACAGCAGUAUCUAACUGAAUUCGAUCAUUUAGGCUGCUUCUUGUGUGAGAGAGUGGGUGACCUGCUUUGGGCCGAUCAUGUGAUCUGCAACCCCUAUGCCUCUGAAACUAAAGGGAAAAGCAAGCAUUGGAGAGGGAGAGUGGCAAAGUGGGAGUGAGGAGAGCUGGAGGAGGAGGAUGACAACGACAGGGGCUGCAUAUUCUUACCAUCCAGAAGGAAAAACUUUCUAUGGGAAGUGAUGAUGCCAAGCAGCAUCUGACUCUCGAGUCAAGUCCAAACAAUCUGGAGAAGGUGGCUCUCACUUUGGCUGGAGAGGAAAUAUAUAUAAUAUAUACAUCUGCUGCUCCAGGCUGGAUCAGGACAUGCUUACCUUACCUAAAAUGUGCAGUUUCACUAUAUUGGGGGGUCUGAGGGGGUCCGGAAACCAGUCAGUAUCUGGUGUGACCACC